CAGCAGCAGAGGCCAUGUCCUUAGUCACUGAAGCCCAGCGUAGUGCCCCUUUUUCCAAGACUUCCACCUGGACUGGCCUGGUCAACUUGGACAAAGCAGGAGUUCCCUCCAUUGCUGGAAUCAACAACUCAUCUGAGAUCUCUGAAGAGCAUGUAGUCAUUCACUUAAGGCCAGAGGAGGGAUGGGGUGAAAGGCCAGAUGGAACCAACCAGCCUAGUCAGCACAGCCCAAACAGAAGCAAUACUUUGGGCCUUUCAGAUCUUGAAGGCCUGGAGAGCCAUGGAGGUUCUGCCCAUGAGGAAGAAGAUGGAAGCUUCUUUGAAUCUGACACACCACCGUUAUCUUCUUCCACCCUACAACCUCAGACCAGUAAUAGUAUUCUGGCAGAUUUUGUCACCACUUUAAUGAGGCCCUUUAAGUACUGGACUGGCGGUAAAGAAGGCGAAGAGAAAGAGAAGGAACCCACAGUGCCUGAAGAGAGAGCAGGAGAGAACCAGAUGCAGGGAGAAGCACCUGGAAGAAACCUGAGUUUACCAAAACCCAACGGAAACAAAGGCAGCAUGGACAACGCCAUUAUGGAGCACAGAAGUGGAACUUCAUCCUUCAGGGGUCCAACUAUUGGGGUGGAGAGUCUAGAGGAAGGUCUGUCCGAACAGGAAAAAGAAGUCAUGCCUCUGAUUCGAUUAGUGCCUGCAGCUGUCCAAAACACAGAGCCAAGCAACACCAGCCCACAUCCCAAGGAAGGAGUCCACAGCACCUUCACCCCUCACACAACUGUUAAAGAAUUCCCUGCAUCCGGUCUCAUUCCGAGAUUACCACCCAGUGAACAUGUCAGCAUAUCUGGUCCUCAGGGUCCCAGACAGGACGGUGCCUUUGCUGCCGCCCCCAGCAGCCACUUUCAGUGGGCUGUCAAGUCUAUGCGUGUUCCCAAAGUAGCCCCCCGUGGAAAUGCAGCCUAUGUGGGUAAACAUCCUACCUGGGAGCCAAUGGAAGCCAAAGCAGGGCCGCUUGAGGUAAUGACGCUGCCUACUUCUCUUCGCCAGGACAACCCAGAAAACUAUUCAGGUGAAGGUAAAGACCAGGAUGCAGAGGGUGCUAAUACUGCAGCUGCCAAAAGUGCAUCAGGGGAGGAGAAGGACACAGAGGGGAGUGGAGAGGGCAGCAACUUUCCUGGUGGUUUUGGAUUUAAAGUCAACAAACUGACUACUGACACAGAAUCAUCACACAGCCAGAGUGAUUUUGUCACCGUGGCUGAGUACACCACUUUGUCCCAGUGGCAGCUGGUGCAGCAACCCACCACUCCACCUCAGGGCUCCAAGGAGGCAGACACAGCAGAGGAGGCCAGAGGAGAGAUCCUCUACUCCCGCCGGCCUACUGACAAUCUGUCUUCAGCCCCCUCACCCAGAGGGGAAGGCGGCUCAAGUUCUAGUUUCAGUCCAGUUUUUAAGAAGCAGAGCAAAGCCACAAGCGGGAACGAGGUUCUGACAACCACACAAGAAGCUCUGAUAGAGGUGCUGACAACUUCUGAGGUGACCACGGUGGAGCUUCAGUCCACACAGAGAACUGAUCCUGCUGCCAGAGCAACCAGCACAGAGAGUACAUCCACCACUGAGAAGCCAUCUAUUUCCAUCUCUUGGGUUCAGGAGGAGCAGGAGAAAACUACAAGCUCACCUGACCUGCAAGGCCGUCUCUCAGCUACUCCAGCACUCAAUGAGGAAGUGACUGCCACAGUCAUUCACCUGACCACAUACACUUCGGGCUCCAACUCUGGCGCCACAGAAAUGGAAUCCAGAUCUGCAGUUUCCGAGUCCUUCAUUGUGGGAAGUCGUUGGACCUCUUCCAAAGGCUCAGAGUCAGAGGAACAGAAAACUCCAGUGACGACAGAGAACACAGACACAAAGAACCCGUUUGGCAUUCUCAUACCCAACUGGGCGUUUGGGCUCAUCCCAUCAGAGAAUAACCCAUGCCAGACCAACCCCUGUCUCCAUGGAGGGAGCUGCCUGCAGGAAGGUGACGGCUAUAGCUGCUACUGUCCUCAGGGCUUCUCUGGAGAGAGCUGCGAGAUUGGUGAGUCACUGCCAGGUCAGGUCUGAGUCAGGCGACCUCAGAGGUCAGCAGCUGCAGACAAAUGCUGGGUCAGUGUGACAU
rnacentral:lncRNA from 1 species